AAAAGGGGUUGAAUAAUUUCUGCUGUCGAACAAUGAGUCAUUUCCCCUGCCCACACGUGUAUUGAAACAACUACAGGCUCAUUUAAGGAUGGCUAGCUUCAUUUUCAGUCAGAGCAGGGACUUUUAAACACAACAGGUUGUCUGUGCGCCUCUUCCUAUUCAUACUCACAUCACAAUGAUUAUCAUCUGCAACAGCCUGCAUCCAGGACAGAUUAGAAGAGGCGUGAGUCUCCGACUGCAAAUCUGACCAGACGUGCUUAAUGAGAGGACAGAUGGAGUGGACCGUUAAUUGCAUUAUCAGUUUUUUGGACUGUGGCCCUUCUCUGUCAAGCUGUUUGGAUAGCCAAAAAAGCCUUGGCUCAUCUCAUUCAUCUGCCAGAAUAAGUAGCUACUAUACACGAUUGUUACAGUUGUCAUGAAAGGAUUAAGAAGUGCCAGUCAAUUUUUGUGCUGUCAAUCAGAGAUGGACAAAAGCCACCGAGAGAACCAGAGUCAUUCUAACAAUCAACAAUGCGACAGACCCAUGAGAUUUGUAAGGAUGCCCUGGAGAUGUGCGUGACACAUUCUUAAAUGGUCCACCUGGAAACAAAGCUGCCUUGACGCCAAACCCCCUCAUGGAAGUAGUAAGCAAUCGUGUUUACAACUGUGACAAUGAGCGAUUACCAGGAUCAACUAAACACUGGAUUUUCAAAAGUAUGUGAAGUAUGUAAAGUUUGUGGCAUAAACUCUUUAAAAUAGGUCCAAGAGUUUUAAACAUUAUUGUAGGAACAUUAAUUUUACAUUUUCAUGCCCCUAAACAUGACACGUAACAAAACGAACUGCGAUUGGUUGCUUUACAUGUCAGUCAGACGGCCUCUGGGUGGUCCAAUUAAAGCUGCAAUGGAUUGCAGACCUUCUACCGCCAGGUCAGACUACACGAGACAACACAAAAUGUAAUGAGUAAUUGUAUUAUAAGAUACUUAAGAACAGCAACUACAUACGUUACUCAAAUACUUUUAACACUGCUCAGUGUUUCUCAUCUACAUGGCGUGGGCAGAGUGGGAAACCUCUAAAGCGGAGUUUCAUAGUUCCUAUUAACAUCUUUAACAACAAUGACAAAAAGAAGUAUAUUCUGUAAAUCGGUGUGAAAUAUAUACAUAUAAUAUUUGGUAAGAAGUGACAAACACGGCAUUGCACAAAAACCCCCAAAGGGGAUAUUUCUUUAUGCUUUAUGCAAAACAGAUAUCAUUUACUUCAUAUAAACAGCCUGACUGAACCCCUUUGCAUUGAGAACGGUAGUCUGUUUUGAAUCAUCUUAAUUCCGCAAGAGUUCUGGUGGGCAGUUAUGACUCAGCCAACCGUGUUUGGUCCAUUCAGCAGUUCUCAAGUCUUCUAAUGUACAGUUUAUGUCAGCAUGGCAAACUAGUAGCUAACAUUGUAUGUUGUCAUAGAACAAGGAGCCAAAAGCCAUAACAGCACGUCUGCUUUUGCAUACACAAUAACGACAUUCCUGUAACUGCCAAGAGAGAGAGGAAAUGGAUUUUUUUAGCUGCUUGAAGGGCGGGUGAUAGGGGGAUUCCAGGCACCGGAACAUUAAUCAGGAGAGCCAGAGAGUCCAUGCUCACUGUAAGCACCCCCCUGCCUUAUCUACUGCACGAUUUGUUUUUUUUUCUCAGUAUAUGUGGGGUGGGGUGAAACGGUGGGGAUAUUUUCUAGUGGUAGAUUCCCAGGUGAACUCACAGAGAAUCACCCGCCCAACGAUUUAACAGCCAGCAGCCCCUUAUUAAAGAACUGAAACAACGUUAUUUUGCUCAGCAACCAAAACCACCGAAACCGCACAACUGACAGAAGGCGCUGGCAGUCAUUCAGAAUCUGCAAACUGAAUGAGAUGUGAAAAAAGUGGAUUAAUGUAGCAUGCUCUUGCACUCCCUUGUGCAUGUGAUAUGGCCAUGGUAACGACUAUAAUUAGAUAGGAGAAAUGCAAUAUUCGCUGUAAACAUCUUGACUAAAUGUACAGAAUGUGAUAAAUCGGCCAUGUAAAAUAUAUGCAAAAUAUAAAAAAAAAUAAAAAUAGCCACUGACUUAACUUGCACAAGAUCUCUAAGCAGCAUAAAAAAAAAAAAACCACAAUGACUGUUCAAAGCCUAUGUGCUAUCUUUUGACAUCAGAGCCGUCCUCAAGAGAUUGUGACUUCAAAGAAUGGCAGGAGGGAAUUGAUGGGACUCAAUCGCAGUCCGUUUCAUCUCAGCUUAGGCCACUUUGUGAGUCCAAAGACAUGGGACAGCCUCUGCUGGGAUCACUUACACAUUAUGCGCUCGCUUUCAGGCACAUGUCUGAUGGGUGGCCUUUCAGUUCUACCACAUCUGAUUGGACAUCAUCCAUAUGUGUCUCAAGGGAUCUAUCUGUAUGAUGGCAUGUCACACCCCUAGAAGCUAUGAAGAGGACAUCAAAUACAUCGAAGAUGUCUAUACUGUACUACAGUAGACCAAGACAGUGUUUGCUGUGUGUCAUCUGCAUACUGUACAUGCAAGGGGAAUUAAAGGGGUCCUUGAUUAUGAUUUCACUUUUUUAAACUUUAGUUAGUGUGUAAUGUUGCUGUUUGAGCAUAAACAACAUUUACAAAGUUACGACGCUCAAAGGGAGUUACUUUCUUUUACAGAAAUCACUUUUUAAGGACCACAACAACAGGUGGUAGGGACUACGCUGAGCUUUUUCCUGGGUUAGUGACAUCACAAACCACAAAAUUUACAUAAACCCCGCCCCUGGGAACAUGCAACAAAGUGGGUGGGGCCAUGUUGGGCUGCUUUAGAGAAGAGGAAGAGUUGUUGAA